CAAGUCGAACGAGAAAGGGGAGCAAUCCCUGAGUAAAGUGGCGCACGGGUGAGUAACACGUGGGUAAUCUACCUGUUAGUGGGGAAUAACUUUGGGAAACCGAAGCUAAUACCGCAUAAGUCCGAGAGGAGAAAGUCGCAAGACGCUGACAGAAGAGCCCGCGGCCGAUUAGCUAGUUGGUGAGGUAAUGGCUCACCAAGGCAUCGAUCGGUAGCCGGCCUGAGAGGGCACACGGCCACACUGGCACUGAAACACGGGCCAGACUCCUACGGGAGGCAGCAGUGGGGAAUCUUGCACAAUGGGGGAAACCCUGAUGCAGCGACGCCGCGUGAGCGAUGAAGCCCUUCGGGGUGUAAAGCUCUUUCGGCAGGGACGAUAAUGACGGUACCUGCAGAAGCAGCUGCGGCUAACUACGUGCCAGCAGCCGCGGUAAUACGUAGGCAGCAAGCGUUGUUCGGAAUUACUGGGCGUAAAGAGUGCGUAGGCUGUUUGUCAAGUUCGGUGUGAAAUCUCCUGGCUCAACUGGGAGGGUGCGCCGGAAACUGGCAGACUAGAGUGUGGGAGAGGAAAGUGGAAUUCCUGGUGUAGCGGUGAAAUGCGUAGAU
rnacentral:rRNA from 1 species